rnacentral:rRNA from 1 species
GCCCGCGGCCUAUCAGCUUGUUGGUGGGGUAGUGGCCUACCAAGGCGACGACGGGUAGCCGGCCUGAGAGGGUGACCGGCCACACUGGGACUGAGACACGGCCCAGACUCCUACGGGAGGCAGCAGUGGGGAAUAUUGCGCAAUGGGCGGAAGCCUGA